rnacentral:rRNA from 1 species
AGAAAAUAGCUUCGGUUGUUUUCUUAGUGGCGGACGGGUGAGUAACACGUGAGGAACCUGCCUUUGAGAGUGGGAUAGCUUCUGGAAACGGAUGGUAAUACCGCAUAACAUAGCGAAACCGCAUGAUUUUGCUAUCAAAGUAUUUCGCUCAGAGAUGGCCUCGCGUCUGAUUAGAUAGUUGGUGAGGUAACGGCUCACCAAGUCGACGAUCAGUAGCCGGACUGAGAGGUUGAACGGCCACAUUGGGACUGAGACACGGCCCAGACUCCUACGGGAGGCAGCAGUGGGGGAUAUUGCACAAUGGGGGAAACCCUGAUGCAGCGAUGCCGCGUGGAGGAAGAAGGUUUUCGGAUUGUAAACUCCUGUCGUAAGGGAAGAGGAAGGACUGUACCUUACAAGAAAGCUCCGGCUAACUACGUGCCAGCAGCCGCGGUAAUACGUAAGGAGCGAGCGUUGUCCGGAAUGACUGGGUGUAAAGGGAGCGUAAGCGGGAUGGCAAGU